GGCGACGUAGCCAAGUGGUAAGGCAGGGCUCUGCAAAAGCCUCACCGGCAGUUCGAAUCUGCCCGUCGCCUCCA
rnacentral:tRNA from 1 species